UACGUAGGGUGCAAGCGUUGUCCGGAAUUAUUGGGCGUAAAGAGCUCGUAGGCGGUUUGUUGCGUCGGCUGUGAAAUCCCGAGGCUCAACCUCGGGUCUGCAGUCGAUACGAGCAAACUAGAGUGUUGCAGGGGAGACUGGAAUUCCUGGUGUAGCGGUGAAAUGCGCAGAUAUCAGGAGGAACACCGGUGGCGAAGGCGGCUCACUGGACCGGUACUGACGCUGAUGCGCGAAAGCGUGGGUAGCAAACAGG
rnacentral:rRNA from 1 species